rnacentral:rRNA from 1 species
CCUACGUGAGGCAGCAGUGAGGAAUAUUGGUCAAUGGGCGGGAGCCUGAACCAGCCAAGCCGCGUGAGGGAAGAAGGUACAGCGUAUCGUAAACCUCUUUUGUCAGGGAACAAAGGCGGGGACUAGUCCCAGGCUGAGGGUACCUGAAGAAAAAGCAUCGGCUAACUCUGUGCCAGCAGCCGCGGUAAGACGGAGGAUGCGAGCGUUAUCCGGAUUUAUUGGGUUUAAAGGGUGAGCAGGUGGCCUGUUAAGUCAGCGGUAAAACCCCUGGGCUAAACCCCGGCGUGCCGUUGAAACUGGCAGGCUGGAGUUGGAGAGAGGUACGCGGAAUGCGUGGGGUAGCGGUGAAAUGCUUAGAUAUCGCGCAGAACUCCGAUUGCGAAGGCGGCGUACCGGCUCAAAACUGACGCUGAGGCACGAAAGCGUGGGUAUCGAACAGGAUUAGAUACCCGUGUAGUC